CUGAGAAAGAGAAGGGGGAUGCUGAGCUGAGGUCCAGGGGAGGGGAGGAGGAUGCUGAGCUGAGGCUGAGAAAGAGAGGUGGGAUGCUGAGCUGAGGUCCAGGGGAGGGGAGGAGGAUGCUGAGCUGAGGCUGAGAAAGAGAGGUGGGAUGCUGAGCUGAGGUCCAGGGGAGGGGAGGAGGAUGCUGAGCUGAGGCUGAGAAAGAGAGGUGGGAUGCUGAGCUGAGGCCAUAGGAGUGAUCAGUGUUGGAGGGGAGUGUCUGUAACAGUGUGGGGUGCAGCAGGCCCUGGGAAGGACUACACAGGUGGCGAGUGGUGUGGUGACAACAGUGAGUGGUGUGAUGGUGGUGACAGUGUUGGGAG